rnacentral:rRNA from 1 species
UACGUAGGGUGCAAGCGUUGUCCGGAAUUAUUGGGCGUAAAGAGCUCGUAGGCGGUUCGUCGCGUCGGCUGUGAAAUCCCGAGGCUCAACCUCGGGUCUGCAGUCGAUACGGGCGGACUGGAGUUCGGCAGGGGAGACUGGAAUUCCUGGUGUAGCGGUGAAAUGCGCAGAUAUCAGGAGGAACACCGGUGGCGAAGGCGGAUCUCUGGGCCGUAACUGACGCUGAGGAGCGAAAGCAUGGGUAGCGAACAGG